rnacentral:rRNA from 1 species
UGGGGAAUUUUGCGCAAUGGGGGCAACCCUGACGCAGCAACGCCGCGUGCGGGACGAAGGCCCUCGGGUUGUAAACCGCUUUCAGCAGGGAAGACAUCGACGGUACCUGCAGAAGAAGCUCCGGCUAACUACGUGCCAGCAGCCGCGGUAAUACGUAGGGGGCGAGCGUUAUCCGGAUUCAUUGGGCGUAAAGCGCGCGUAGGCGGCCGCCUAAGCGGGACCUCUAACCCCGGGGCUCAACCCCGGGCCGGGUCCCGGACUGGGCGGCUCGAGUGCGGUAGAGGAGAGCGGAAUUCCCGGUGUAGCGGUGGAAUGCGCAGAUAUCGGGAAGAACACCGAUGGCGAAGGCAGCUCUCUGGGCCGUCACUGACGCUGAGGCGCGAAAGCUGGGGGAGCGAACAGG